GAUUAAAAUGCAGAUUUCUGGGCCCCAUCCAGACCUACUCAAUCAAUUAUCUGGGGUCCAGGAAUCUGCAGUUUUUCCCAAGUGCCGCAG
rnacentral:miRNA from 1 species